CUGAGCUAGUGAUGAUAUAAAGUUAUCCCUGUCUGAAACGGAUCUUUCCUCUGCGGAAGCAUAACUCUGAGGCUCAG
rnacentral:snoRNA from 1 species